rnacentral:rRNA from 1 species
GUGUCAGCCGCCGCGGUAAGACGAACCGAGCGAACGUUGUUCGGAAUCACUGGGCUUAAAGGGCGCGUAGGCGGGUGUUCAAGUCUGUGGUGAAAUCCUCCGGCUCAACCGGAGAAUUGCCUCGGAUACUGAAUGUCUCGAGGGUGAUAGGGGUAUGCGGAACUAUCGGUGGAGCGGUGAAAUGCGUUGAUAUCGAUAGGAACUCCGGUGGCGAAGGCGGCAUACUGGAUCACUUCUGACGCUGAGGCGCGAAAGCCAGGGGAGCAAACGGGAUUAGAUACCCGCGUAGUCC